rnacentral:lncRNA from 1 species
GUUGUUCCUACAUAGUCGAUUGGGUUUCUGAUUGUUCCUGGAUAGUCGAUUGGGUUUCUAAUUGUUUUGUUCAUCUUGAAUAUUCAUAUAAUCCUGAAGUUAUUGUAGUUGUCUACUUGAAUCCAUGAAGUGCAUUGUUUUGGUCCUUAAAUUCUUUGAGUAGCCACUUCUACAUAAUUGAGCCUAUAGCUUAGAUUUAGAAACCAAGGGUACAUAUCUUAGGUUAGUUGAAUAGGAAAAGGGACAGGGGUAUAGAGGGUAUUUGAACCUAAACGAAUCCUGUAAUAACCCCUAGAACAUUCUAGUGAGGGGUGUAAGCAUAAUUUCAGCCUCAAACUUGAGGCACAAGUUAGAAAACUAAGGACUAUUUAGGUAAAAAUGAAAAUUGAGUAAGGGAUUAAAAGGAAAAGAAGAAAAUGGGUGUUGCCCUAAGGCUUCAACUAUAAAAGGGGGCAAUCUGAACAUUUGAAGAGGACUUUUUGAUAUUUUCGAGCAGAACAUUUCAUUAAAUCUUUGUAGUGAAUUAGAAUACAAAAAAUACAUAUUAGUUUCUUCUACAUUCUUCAGAAAUCAUUAGUGCUGUUCUAUUCCUGCUGAAUUUUCCUUGAUGACAAGUUGAGCAUAUUGAGUUGCUUUGAAGAUCAACUACUAUUGUUUGCUUUGCUCAAAACCUUCAUGAAUCUCUGGGUGAUUAUUGGUUGACUGGCUGUUGUGUGCUUGCUAUUUGCUCCAUUUGCUCAUAGGUUUCCUUUCAGUUGACACUACAGGCACAAAUCCUUACUCAAAAUUGGAGCUAUACCCCUUUACACUUGACUUUGUAGCUGUUCAUGAAGAAAUUAGCAUUUUGUUUCAAUACUUAUACGAUGACGGUUAGUUAUUAUAGUAAUAUUUUUGCAUUUUAAUGAAUUUUAAUAUGUACUAACUAUGGAAUGUAUUGAGAUUAUUUCUUUAGUUCGUCAAAGUUUUCAGUAUGUUUUAGAG